rnacentral:rRNA from 1 species
AGAGUUGAUCUGGCUCAGGAUGAACGCUGCGGCGUGCCUAAUACAUGCAAGUCGAGCGAGAAUCAAUGAACAGAGAUCGUCAACGGGAUAUGAGGAAAGCGGCGGACGGGUGAGUAACGCGUAGGCAACCUGCCCUUAGCAGAGGGAUAGCCAUUGGAAACGAUGAUUAAAACCUCAUAAUGCUGUUGGGACACAUGUCCCUGCAGCCAAAGAUUUAUCGGCUAAGGAUGGGCCUGCGUCUGAUUAACUAGUUGGUGAGGUAACGGCCCACCAAGGUGACGAUCAGUAGCCGACCUGAGAGGGUGAUCGGCCACAUUGGAACUGAGACACGGUCCAAACUUCUACGGAAGGCAGCAGUAAGGAAUCUUGCACAAUGGGGGAAACCCUGAUGCAGCAACGCCGCGUGAACGAUGAAGGCCUUAGGGUUGUAAAGUUCUGAUCUGUGGGAAGAAGAAGUGACGGUACCACAGGAGAAAGCCCCGGCUAAAUACGUGCCAGCAGCAGC